rnacentral:tRNA from 1 species
GCCUGGGUGGCUCAGUCAGUUAAGCGUCUGACUUCAGCUCAGGUCAUGAUCUCACCGUUUGUGAGUUCAAGCCCCACAUUGGGCU